GAUGAACGCUGGCGGCGUGCCUAAUACAUGCAAGUCGAGCGAACGGACGAGAAGCUUGCUUCUCUGAUGUUAGCGGCGGACGGGUGAGUAACACGUGGAUAACCUACCUAUAAGACUGGGAUAACUUCGGGAAACCGGAGCUAAUACCGGAUAAUAUUUUGAACCGCAUGGUUCAAAAGUGAAAGACGGUCUUGCUGUCACUUAUAGAUGGAUCCGCGCUGCAUUAGCUAGUUGGUAAGGUAACGGCUUACCAAGGCAACGAUGCAUAGCCGACCUGAGAGGGUGAUCGGCCACACUGGAACUGAGACACGGUCCAGACUCCUACGGGAGGCAGCAGUAGGGAAUCUUCGGCAAUGGGCGAAAGCCUGACGGAGCAACGCCGCGUGAGUGAUGAAGGUCUUCGGAUCGUAAAACUCUGUUAUUAGGGAAGAACAUAUGUGUAAGUAAAUAUGCACAUCUUGACGGUACCUAAUCAGAAAGCCACGGCUAACUACGUG
rnacentral:rRNA from 1 species